GACGAACGCUGGCGGCGUGCUUAACACAUGCAAGUCGAACGGAAAGGCCCUGCUUUUGUGGGGUGCUCGAGUGGCGAACGGGUGAGUAACACGUGAGUAACCUGCCCUUGACUUUGGGAUAACUUCAGGAAACUGGGGCUAAUACCGGAUAGGAGCUCCUGCUGCAUGGCGGGGGUUGGAAAGUUUCGGCGGUUGGGGAUGGACUCGCGGCUUAUCAGCUUGUUGGUGGGGUAGUGGCUUACCAAGGCUUUGACGGGUAGCCGGCCUGGGAGGGUGACCGGCCACAUUGGGACUGAGAUACGGCCCAGACUCCUACGGGAGGCAGCAGUGGGGAAUAUUGCACAAUGGGCGGAAGCCUGAUGCAGCAACGCCGCGUGCGGGAUGACGGCCUUCGGGUUGUAAACCGCUUUCGCCUGUGACGAAGCGUGAGUGACGGUAAUGGGUAAAGAAGCACCGGCUAACUACGUG
rnacentral:rRNA from 1 species